GGCAGGCACCCUGCUUCGGGGCUGCAGACCCCGCCACGGUCAUCCCCUCUCAGCUGGCUCUGGGUGAAAGCCACCUUUGUUUCCCAGCCUCUCUCUGGUACCUCCAUCUGCUGGAGUUGUGUGGAGGGAGGGUGAGGGAGUUGAGGGGCCAGAAGGGACUUCCUGGCCGUCCUAAGACACCAAGUCAGCCUGGAUGCCUGAUCUCAAAGUCCUCAAGCCACGAGGAGCACCGGAACUUUGGGGGAAUUCACUGCCCUCCUUUGCUAGAAGAACCAGAAGCAAGCUUGUCGGGGACAGAGAAGGUCCGAGACUCCAGAAAAGAUCAGAGUAUCUGCAUGACCCCAAGAGUCUUGGUGCUUUCCUGACCCAUGUAGUUACUUGGGCAUCCCAAGGUGGCCCAAGCAGGAUCUGGUGAAGCUGAGGCAGCCGUGGGGGCUUGUUGCUUAGAAACGGGUGAAGGGUUGGAGGUAAGGAGGGCACCCUUUAUUCAUCUUUUAUUCUGUGAGCCCAGAGCUUCCAGAGAUGCAAAUCUACCACCCCGUGCCUAAGGGGGUGAACAUCCACACGAUAUCUGGCAUUCGGAAGUUCUCGUGCACCCCUCUUUGGGAUUUCUAGGGUGCAGCUUUCUUCUUCAAAUGACUGUGUAUCGCUCACAGGGGAACCCAAGAGCAGUUUUCCAAAAUAAGCACCCUUGCAGUCCUGGUAAGUUCACCUCUUGGGCUUGACCCUACUUCAUCUAGAUUUUCCUCAAGCCAGUGGAUGGCGCUUGGGUUCCCUCAAUUCAGACAGCUCCACAUUCCUCUAAUACAGUGAUUCUGGGGACACCAAACAUUGAUCCUUGGGAUAAGUCACAUAAAUAAUCUCUUUAGGAGAAAAGCCAAUCUGACAUGGUGAGAACUGGAAACCAUGAAAAAGUUUUUGUAGGAAGAGAACUAGUUACAGUCAAUAGGGUGCCAACCAGGAAAGCGUUAUCCUUCAGUGUUUGAGCAAAGCCACAUUCUUCUCCUGGCACACCUGUUGCCUAUUCAGUGUUAAAAACCAGGGCCAAGUGUCUGCAAAGCUGUAAACACAGCCAGACCAUAAUCAGAAUAAUGGAGUCAAUGUGUAGCUGACACAAUUUGUACCAAUGGCGCCCCCUACUGGACAGCAGCAACCCUAGGCAUCCUAGGCAACCCUAGUGGUCAUUCAGGUUUUCAGAAUGUUUCCAGUCCCGUCCCACGUUGGAAGGGACAUUCCUGGUCACCAGGGAGUUUUUCUGCAGCAUGUUUUCAAUACUGCAGACAGUUUUAUGGAUGAAGGCUCCUAGAGGUUACUUCACCCUCUAACACAAACAAGAUGCUUGGUGAUUCAACCAUGUUCUUUGUGGGUUCUGAGGGUCCGAUUUUUCUAACACUUUACUCUCUCUGGACCAACACUCACCAGAGUCAAAUGCAGUUGAGAAUGACUUGUGACUACAGAUGAUCCCUGUGUAAAGGGCUGACCUAAAGGCACCUGGAGUCUUGGGUGGGUGGAGGUUAUCUCUCAAGCUUCACCGGCUGGUAUGAGAGUAAAAGGGGCCGGCCAAAGGUCAGGAAUGUGGGCCUUCUGGAGAGGGAAGCCACCCCACCAGCUCCACAGCUGAGCUCUUCUUUCUGCUGUUGGAAAGGAUCAAAUCUCAGCCUUUGUACCUUAGCCCUAUCCACUGCAUUCCUCAAUAUUUUAAACAUAGACUCUCUCCUUAGUCAGACUAUCCCUUUCUUCCCAAGAUAACCCAGUUUCUACCUUUGCACCUUGUCACUCCUUAUUCGUUCAACAAAUAUUUUUUGGACAACUCUUAUGUGCCAGACAUUGUUCUAGGAAGGGGAGCUAUAGCACUGAACACUGUGGAGCAGACAUUCUCGUUGGGGAAACAAUUAUAGAAAGACAAGUGUGUGUUAGCGGUGUAAGUGCCACGAAUAAGCCAAGCUGGGAGAGGGGGAUAGAGGGGGGGAAGCUACUUUUUUGGGUGGAGCGGGUCUCUAAAAAGCCCUUCGGAAAAGCUUCGUGCUCCAUCCACCCUGGUGAGGAUCUAUCUGUUUUCUCUCCUUCAAAACUGGGAUUGCCUCUUCCAUAAAACCUCCCCAGUUCACUUUCCCUCUCCAGUGACGUUCCCUUCAGCACAUCUCUGCUCAAGCUUCUUCAUCCUUAGAAAGAUGUUCAGUUAUAUCUUGGAUUAUCAUCUCCUGGAGAAUAAGGGUCCUGGUCCUGUCUUCUAUUUCUCUGCUUUGCUACCAGAGCAGGAGGGUGGGGGAGGCGGGGAGGAGACAAGCAUGUCUACUAUGUGCUAGAAACAGUCACACAUUCCUUCAUCUAAUCCCCGUGAAACUCCUGCAGACUCUGGCUUAUUGUCCCCAUUUUAUAAGCAAGUAAAGUGAGGCUUCAUUUAUCCAAGGGCACACAACCACUGAGUGGGGGAACUGGGGUCUGAACCCUGAUCUAUCUAGCAUCGUGGUCUGUACUAUUCCCACCCUGGAGCCUAGAGUGAGUAUUUGCGAAGUGUCGUCAGUGAGUGAUGAGUACAGGGAAGGGAUGAGCUUUGUUUCUUGGCGAAUGGCGGUGCGAAAGAAGUGAGGAAACUCCCCCUGUCUGCUGGAGAUCCUUCCUUUGCUGCCUUAUAACCAGGUAACCACAGGCACCUCACUUCCCCUUCCAGGGGCGCAUAACCCUUCUCUGUAAAUUGAGGUUAGACCACACGACCUCCCAGGUCCUUUCCAGCUCUGACAUUCUAAGGAACAUCAUCUUCUGCAAGGAAUGGGAGAGGAUGGAGGGCGGGGAGAAGUCAAGUGACUUUACUGCAUCGAAUCUGAUUUUUUUAGCAGACAGAGAAUGAGAUACAACAGUUUGUUCAUUCAAUUAAAAUUCAAUAUAUCCUGAAUACCUACUACGUGCCAGACCCUGGCGUGCGCUGAGGAUACAGAACUAAACUUUUAAAACAUUGCCCUUACCUUGGCAUAUAUGUAAAGGGAAAGACAAAUAGGACACGAAAUUAUCACAAUGAUAAUAAUGGCUAACAUGGCAUCCACCCUUGGCCAGAAAUUGUUCUGAGCACUUGAAACCUUUGGACUCAUUUUAAUCUUCCCAACCAUCUACGAGGUAUGUCUACUCACAGAGCAACCUACCUCUCACCAUACUCGUCUUUCUAGAAAAAGCACGGUCCUCCAGGGGAGUUAUCGUCUGCAAGUGCUGCUAACAGAACUAACUUUAAGGCAAAGAGGUCAAGUCUAGGAAACAGAACUCUGUCCUUCCCCCCCCAAAAGAGCGCUGAACUUUCCUGAAGAAAUUCAGUACCAAGGGUUUUAUUUCUUGUUAAGAUAUGCUCUCCUGGGCUUCUCUGGUGGUGCAGUGGUUAAGAAUCCACCUGCCAAUGCAGGGGACACGGGUUCCAGCCCUGAUCUGGGAAGAUUCCACAUGCUGCGGAGCAACUAAGCCCGUGUGCCACAACUACUGAGCCUGCGCUCUAGAGCCCGUGAGCCACAACUACUGAGCCCGGGUGCCACAACUACUGAAGCCCGCGCGCAUAGAGCCCGUGCUCCGCAACAAGAGAAGCCACCGCAAUGAGAAGCCUGAGCACCGCAACGAAGAGUAGCCUCCGCUCGCCACAACUAGAGAAAGUCUGCGCACGGCAACGAAGACCCAACGCAGCCAAAAAUAAAUUAAUUAAAUAAAAAAGAUAUGCUCUCCUGAA